AUCGCCUCGCGAGACGCUGAUCAGUGAGGUGAUUGGCUGCAGCUGCUGCAGUGCAUCAGCGGGAGAACUUCUACAGCAGGAUGCAGCCAGGUGCAUUGUGGGAAUGAUCAGCAGGAAUUGGGAGUCUCCAUCUCAAAAAGGGUUUUAGUGGAGUAACUGUGCAGGUUAAAGGGUGAAGAGACAGUGCUGAAGACGUUCCCCUGCUGUUCCUCACAAAAACAGGACUUCAUUUAACACCACAGAACAGUGCUGUGGAAGCCGUCUGAUCCUGAGAUCUUGUAUUUGCGGCUCAGUUUGAGGAACCCUGAUCUCAUCCAUCUCUCCAUCCACCUCCUAAACACAGGAGAAAAGAACAGAGCACUCAGUACUGGACUCUCCUGGACAUCAAACAACAUUGAGAGAUAUAAUUACAAUAAAUGUUACAUGAUGAUAAAAUAUUUAUGAUGCACUGUUUGAUUGUAUCUUGUUGAGUCAUGUUUUUUAUAAGAAAUUUUCUUUAAUAUGACGAUCAUUUGACCACAUGCUGUUGUCAGGAGUUUACAGAGAUGUAUAGUAAAAAUUCUGUAUUUACUGAACAAUAUAUUUGGUCUGAAAAACUCUUUUUACAUUGUCUUCUAUUAAGUUUAGAAGGUUUUUUUCUCUCUCCUGUAAAGUUGCUGUUUUGGAGAUACUUGUUUUUCAUCCA
rnacentral:lncRNA from 1 species